UACGUAGGUGGCAAGCGUUGUCCGGAAUUAUUGGGCGUAAAGCGCGCGCAGGCGGUCCUUUAAGUCUGAUGUGAAAGCCCACGGCUCAACCGUGGAGGGUCAUUGGAAACUGGGGGACUUGAGUACAGAAGAGGAAAGCGGAAUUCCACGUGUAGCGGUGAAAUGCGUAGAGAUGUGGAGGAACACCAGUGGCGAAGGCGGCUCACUGGCUCAUUACUGACGCUCAGGCGCGACAGCGUGGGGAUCAAACAGG
rnacentral:rRNA from 1 species